UGUGAUUUGGCCUUCACUCGAUUCCCAGAAAUCUGUGGGCUGGAAAUGCCAUGAAGAUUAGGCAAAAGUGAAAUCUUUUAGUUUAUCCAGACAUAUUUGUCUCUGCUCAGCAGAGCAAAUACAUUUGCUUUCCAUAUUUGCCCAUCAGUUAAAGGAUUUUUGGUUACUGCUGCCAAUUUUUAGCUGCUUCAAAGCUUGGACAAUUCUUUUGUCUCUUCUUCAUCACGUGAGCUAACAUGAUGAAGAAAAGUGGGUGAAGGAGGAACAUGCACAUACCCACACAAAGAUCAAAGACCAAGCAGAACUCUCAAGCAGCCUAAAUAGAUAACAUUAUUAAACUCCCCCUCUGCUUCUCUACAGCUCCGUUAAUACCUCUGGGAUCAAAGAACUGAAGGACCCAGUCAGAGUAA
ensembl:lncRNA